rnacentral:lncRNA from 10 species
AUUGAUAAGAAUGGGUCUCAGAAAACAGAACCAUUGCAGAAAAUUACACUUCAGAAUGCCGACUUGUUGUCCUUCAUUGAGAAACACCAGGCAUUUCAUUUUCUGACUUGAAACAGUAAAAUACUGACUCAUCAGUGUCUACACUUCUUAUGAGCAGACAAGAGCAGCAUCUGUGGCUGGAAGUUAAGUGUCCAUUUAGUCAACAAAUAUUUAUGAAGUGUCUGUGUAUCAGGCCCUAUGUUAGACCCUGGAUGAGGAACAAAUCAGUUUCUUCAAAAAAGCCCCAAUCUAUGCAAGAGGAAUCACAAUUUGUGGCCCAGUAACAGCUCCACAUAUCACCAUCAC